rnacentral:rRNA from 1 species
UACGUAGGGUCCAAGCGUUAAUCGGAAUUACUGGGCGUAAAGGGUGCGUAGGCGGUUCUAUAAGUAUGGUGUGAAAUCUCCCGGCUUAACUGGGAGGGUGCGCCGUAGACUGUGGGACUAGAGUGUGGGAGAGGAAAGUGGAAUUCCUGGUGUAGCGGUGAAAUGCGUAGAUAUCAGGAGGAACACCGGUGGUGUAAACGGCUUUCUGGACCAUAACUGACGCUGAGGCACGAAAGCGUGGGUAGCAAACAGG